rnacentral:misc_RNA from 1 species
UGGCAGCUGUACACGGGAACAGGCACAAGGAUAGGCUCACACGUGCGGCGCGUUUUUUUUUUUGCGGUUGUUGCUGUUUCCUGCUCUAUUAUAAGAGCGAAGCGCAUCCGAGCCUCGCACAAGUGCGCGCUGAACAGCAUCACCAUCCAACUCAGCUCCUUAUCUUCUUGAACCUAGCAAAGAAAAAAAAAACAUUUUCUUUUUUUGUCUGUAAUAGCGGCGACCGAAAGCGAGGCAGGCAGACAGACAGAUACAUCCCCGUCUUCCUCUCGUCUUCCAUUUUUCGGUACGCGUGAUCUGCCUCUGCUACCUUUCCUUUGGCAACUCAGUCCUGCGUCUCGAGCCUGCUCCUCAGUGCUUGAAACUCAGACCCGAUGAGGCGCGGAGCGAAGCGGUCGUCGCGAGACGGGGAGGACGUCCCCGGGACACGCGCCCGCACCAAAGACGCUGAGGAGAUGCGAAAGGAAGAAGCGCGUCGGCAGCGUGAGCUGGAGGAGGCGAAGCAGCAGGCGGAGCUCGAAGACGACGACAGCUGGGAAGAUGACGACAGCGACGCUGAAGACAUCGACGACGGCGACGGUGACGAAGAGGAAAUCAUUGAGGCGAGCGACGAGGACGAUGAUGAAUACGCCGAGUUCCAGAAGGAAUCGUCGGCUCACAUCACAAACGGCAUCAAGUCUAUCUCCUUCAAGGAGGCCGGCGAGGCGGGUGCCGACGACGAUGACGAGGCCGGCGGUGCUGCGGCGGUGUCAGUGUGGCGCGGCGACAUUGAAGGUGCCGCCUUUGGCGAGGCGGAGGGCGGCGAGCCGAUAAAGCUAGAGUUCUCCAACAAGGCCUACGAUGCUUUCUUCCAGCUGCGCACCGAGUAUCCGUGCCUGUCUUUUGAUGUCGUGAAGGACAACAAGGACAACCACACCAAGUACCCGCUCUCCACGGUGCUGGUGUGCGGCACGCAAGCGGAUCAGCAGGCCCGCAACGAGUUGCUGGUGCUCUAUGUAACGAACAUGUGCCGCACCAAGUACGACGUAGCCAGCGACAACGACAGCGAGGAAGACUACAUCGGCGAAGAGGACGAUAGCGAGGAGGACGAGGACGACGAGGCCGGCGAGGACGUGAACGCUGGCGAGCCGGUGGUGCACCACCGCGUCAUCAAACACUACGGCACCGCCAACCGCGUGCGCUGCUGCCCGCAGAACAACCCUGCGAGUGGCAGUCAGCUCGUGGCCGUCUGGUCCGAAGCCGGCCACGUGCAGGUCUUCGACAUCGAGUCGGAGGUGCGUGCCCUGACAGACUUCUCGAACUGGUCGAAGGAGCAGGCGCAGGUGUGGAAGCAGCAAUCGGCUGGGGGGCAGAGUAAGAAGGCGCAGCCGCUGAAGUUCUGCACGCCGUCGACGUCGCACAAGACGGAGGGCUACGGACUCGACUGGAGCCCGGUGCAGGCGAGCGUCUUCGCGUCGGGUGACUGCGCCGGUUCUCUGUUCGUGUGGCAGCCCACGGACGACGGCCGGUGGAAGAGCGCAGCAAGCAGCACCGUACCUGGCGCUAUGUCGAUUGAGGAGAUUCAGUGGAGUCCGACGCAGGCGGAUGUGCUCAUCACCGCCCGCGCCGGCGGCCUAGUGGAGGUGUGGGACACGCGUGACAUGCGGGCCUGCAAGAUUUCGUUUCAGGCGGACCCCUCCGACAUCAACGUGGCUGACUGGAACCGUGCCCGGCAAGCGUCGCACCUGCUCGUGACAGGUGCCGAGAGCGGCGCCGUUGCGGUGUGGGAUCUGCGGCGCAUCGCCACUCCGGAGCCGAUCCAGCGCAUUGCACUUCACAAGAAGGCCAUCACGUCCGUCGAGUUUGCGCCGCACAACGAGAGCGUCCUGUCCGUUGUCAGCGAUGAUGGACGCUGCACCUUGUGGGACCUGUCGCUGGAGCGGGACUUUAACGAGGAGCAGGAGGCGGUGGGCGAGCUGUUUAGCGGGAAGCUGAAGGAGUACCCCGAUCAGUUGAUGUUUCAUCAUCAGGGGCUGGUGCACCCGAAGGAGGCGCACUGGCACACGCAGGUCCCCGGCAUGGUGGUGACGACGGAUUACGAGGGCCUCAAUCUCUUCCGCCCCAUGAACUGGAAGUCCUUGAUGCGUUGAGGAAAGUGGAAGUGGAAGGUGAACACGAAAAGCGUGUGAGAGAAAAGAUGUGCUCUCGAGUAGUUUUCAAGCUCCACGAGAUGGAAUGGGGGCGGUGGUGAGGGGAGGGCCUCGCUUUCCGCGUGCUCGGCUGCCAACGAACCGCCGUCCGGCUGCGGCUACUCUUUCGAGCGUCUUCCUCGUCGCUUCCUUUCCUGCCCGCCUCUUUCUCUCUCGGGCCCCUUGUCUUCUCUACCGCCUUUUUAACGGAGAAGAAUGGGAUGUGUGACGGCGUGCUCUCCUCCUCUCUCCGCCCUUCUCCCCGCUCCUCUCUCCCCCCGUGCGCGUUGGUGCAUGUCGGUGCGGUUUGUUGUGUCGUGGUCAUGCGUGCCAUGGCGCGCGAGUUGGAGACGCCAGCCAUCAAGGAAGAAAAAAAAGAAAAAAGGACUAGGCGGCGGCAACGACCACUGCUAGCACAACCGGCGCCGGAGCCCAGAUUUAACUGACAGACUCUCGAAUAAUGCGUGACGAAGCCCGCGCGUUCUAACAAACUGAAGCGAGAAGAGG